UCCGAAUUGGUGUAGUGGCUAACAUUUGACGCUCUCAAAAUAUCACACAUUAAUCGUGUGCGACAUAGACAAGUCCCGUCAAGCCCGGGGUUCGAUUCCCCGAUUCGGAG